UCGAGAAUCUUUCGCAAUGGGCGAAAGCCUGACGAAGCGACGCUGCGUGAGCGAAGAAGGCCUUUUUGGUUGUAAAGCUCUUUCGCUUGGGAACAAGAAAUGUUCUCUAAUAUAGAACAAAUUUGAGGGUACCAGGUAAAGAAGCACCGGCUAACUCCGUGCCAGCAGCUGCGGUAAUACGGAGGGUGCAAGCAUUAAUCGGAUUUAUUGGGCGUAAAGGGCGCUUAAGGCGGGUAUGAAAGUCAGGUGUGAAAUCCCGGGGCUCACCCCCGGAACAGCAUUUGAAACUCCAUAUCUAGAGGGUUGGCGGAGAAAACGGAAUUCCACAAGUAGCGGUGAAAUGCGUAGAUAUGUGGAAGAACACCAGUGGCGAAGGCGGUUUUCUAGCUUCCUCCUGACGCUGAUGCGCGAAAGCAAGGGGAGCAAACAGGAUUAGAUACCCCCGUAGUCC
rnacentral:rRNA from 1 species